ACUUCAUCUUCUCAUCCUUGAGUCUGGUCGUUUUAUAAUUGCACCAAAACCUAACCCUAGUCACUCCGAGAACCAUUUUUUUGGAUUAGAAUUAGGGGGGAAUUAGGGUUUCGGAAUUGAUGGGUACGGAACGAAAGAGGAAGGUGAGCUUGUUCGAUGUGGUAGACGAUUCUGUGGCUAAGAUGACGAAAUCCAACGGUGGCGUCAAUAACAGCGUCGCUAACAGUCUCAUCAAUCGCUGGACAGCGAAGCCUUACUCCCAAAGGUACUUUGAGAUUUUGGAGAAGAGAAAGACGCUCCCUGUUUGGCACCAGAAAGACGAGUUUUUCCAGACUUUGAAGGAUAACCAGACUUUGAUUCUCGUCGGCGAGACUGGUAGUGGCAAAACCACCCAGAUCCCUCAGUUUGUGUUGGAUGCUGUCGAUUUAGAAACCCCGGAUAAACGUAGGAAGAUGAUGAUUGCAUGUACUCAGCCGCGGAGAGUGGCUGCAAUGUCUGUUUCUCGUCGUGUGGCUGAAGAGAUGGAUGUAACUAUUGGGGAAGAGGUUGGUUACAGUAUCAGAUUUGAAGACUGCAGUAGUGCAAGGACAGUUUUGAAGUAUCUUACAGAUGGUAUGCUCUUAAGAGAAGCAAUGGCAGAUCCACUUUUGGAACGAUAUAAAGUUAUUAUUCUUGAUGAGGCACAUGAGAGGACUUUAGCUACAGAUGUGCUAUUUGGCCUUCUGAAGGAGGUCCUUAAAAAUAGAUCUGACUUAAAGUUGGUUGUUAUGAGUGCAACUCUUGAAGCUGAAAAGUUCCAGGGCUAUUUUUUUGGUGCCCCUCUUAUGAAAGUUCCAGGAAGGCUACAUCCUGUGGAAAUUUUCUAUACACAGGAACCUGAAAGGGAUUACUUGGAGGCUGCCAUUAGGACAGUGGUACAGAUACACAUGUGUGAACCUCCGGGAGAUAUACUUGUAUUUCUGACUGGAGAGGAAGAGAUAGAAGAUGCAUGUCGCAAAAUAUCAAAAGAAGUUUCUAAUAUGGGAGACCAGGUGGGGCCUGUCAAAGCGGUACCCCUAUAUUCUACUCUUCCUCCAGCCAUGCAGCAGAAGAUUUUUGAGCCACCUCCACCUCCACUGAAGGAGGAUGGGCCUCCUGGAAGGAAGAUUGUGGUAUCAACUAACAUAGCAGAAACUUCCUUGACAAUUGAUGGUAUUGUCUAUGUCAUUGACCCAGGGUUUGCCAAGCAGACAGUUUAUAAUCCCCGCGUUCGUGUGGAAUCUCUGUUAGUGUCACCAAUAUCUAAAGCCAGUGCACAUCAGAGAUCAGGGCGUGCUGGAAGAACUCAACCAGGGAAAUGUUUUAGACUUUACACUGAGAAAAGUUUCAAUAAUGAUCUUCAGCCACAGACCUAUCCUGAAAUUUUGAGAUCAAAUCUUGCCAACACAGUUCUUACUUUGAAGAAACUGGGUAUAGAUGAUUUAGUGCAUUUUGAUUUCAUGGACCCUCCUGCCCCUGAGACCUUAAUGCGUGCAUUGGAAGUGUUGAAUUACUUGGGAGCACUGGAUGAUGAUGGUAACUUAACCAAACUGGGUGAAAUUAUGAGUGAGUUACCCUUGGACCCACAGAUGUCAAAGAUGCUUGUUGUCAGUCCUGAAUUCAACUGUUCAAAUGAGAUUCUGUCAAUUUCUGCCAUGCUUUCAGGUAUUAUUCUUUUAUUUUGUUGCUUUAUGUUUGACUGCUUACAUGUGUGCUUAGUUGCACAUGAAUGUGGUCAGUAGUGUGUCCUGUUAGGUUGUCAUCAGCAACUGUCUUCUCUGGGUUCCAUGCCCCCGGUUGGCAGGCACCAUAGGAUUCUAAGUAAGUGCUGAUGUAGUUAGUUGCAGUUUCUCAGUAUUCUCUCAUGAAGCAAAUGGUGUGGUCUCGCCUCUAUGCAUCUGCUGACCUACCGUGGACCUCCUCUGUGAUAAUCAAUUUCUUUCUUUAGUACCCAAUUGCUUUAUACGGCCUAGGGAGGCACAAAAAGCUGCGGAUGAGGCAAAAGCUAGGUUCGGGCACAUUGAUGGAGAUCAUCUCACGCUCUUGAAUGUUUACCAUGCAUACAAGCAAAAUAAUGAGGAUCCAUCUUGGUGUUAUGAUAACUUCAUUAAUCAUAGGGCUUUGAAAGCAGCUGAUAAUGUUAGACAACAAUUAGUGCGUAUCAUGGCCCGGUUUAAUCUGAAGUUGUGCAGCACUGACUUCAACAGCCGUGACUAUUAUGUCAACAUUAGAAAAGCUAUGCUAGCUGGGUAUUUCAUGCAGGUUGCUCAUCUGGAACGUACAGGACACUACUUGACAGUGAAGGAUAACCAGGUGGUGCAUUUGCAUCCAUCAAAUUGUCUAGACCACAAGCCUGAAUGGGUCAUUUAUAAUGAAUAUGUUCUUACCAGUCGGAAUUUUAUUCGUACUGUUACAGACAUACGCGGGGAAUGGUGAGAUUUUUUCUUUAUGGAUUAUUGAUAUUAAGUGAAAACCUGAUGAUAAAGUUUUGAAUACGAUUAAGCGCUCAGACAGAUGCAAUCACAACAUUGAACUAUGGUGUUAGAUUAUGGUGGGGAGAAGUGUUGGAACAUAGUUAGAUUUUCAAGCACAGUGUUAUCAAAUUUCUUUGAUUUUGGGUUAUCUAGUUUUCAUAGUUCUGAUUGUUUGGUUAUGAAAUUUACUCUAACCAGGUUGGUUGAUAUAGCACCGCAUUACUAUGAUUUGUCUAAUUUUCCACAAUGUGAGGCAAAGCAUGUUAUUGAGAGACUUUACAAGAAGCGAGAGAAGGAAAAGGUGGAAGCGAGGAGCCGCAAAUGAAGUCGUCGCCAUCCACACUACUUUUUUUCCUUUGGAUUUGGAUUGAUGUUUCAUCUCUUGGAGCUGAGACAUUAAAUGUAAUACUGAUUAUCGGUAGUUUAGUUAAAAAUGAAGGAAGAUCUUGUAC